CACGUAGGGCGCGAGCGUUGGCCGGAAUUAUUGGGCGUAAAGAGCUCGUAGGUGGUUUGUUACGUCCGCUGUGAAAACCUGGGGCUUAACCCCGGGCCUGCAGUGGAUACGGGCAGACUAGAGGUAGGUAGGGGAGAAUGGAAUUCCUGGUGUAGCGGUGAAAUGCGCAGAUAUCAGGAGGAACACCGGUGGCGAAGGCGGUUCUCUGGGCCUUACCUGACACUGAGGAGCGAAAGCGUGGGGAGCAAACAG
rnacentral:rRNA from 1 species